AGAAAUGUACAAACGAGCAAUAAGGGAACAGUGAAAUUAGAUGAU
rnacentral:misc_RNA from 1 species